UGCUGCUGCUGCUGCACCGUCAUUACGCCAUCCUCUUCACUUUCGUUCUCCAUCAUCAGAUCAUCAUCGAUGCCAUCAUCAUCAUCUGCGUCAUCGUCUUCGUUUGCGGUUCGAGUUCUCAUUCGCCAACAGCAGAUGGUUCUCGUUUGGCUCACGCUGAUCAUCAUCGCUUGCCAUCAACUCGUCAUCGUACUGCUGCUGCUGCCUUUCGUCGUUGUUCGGAGCCGAUUCCGGUGUGCUGGGAAUUUGAAUAUCAUCCUCAUCGAAGCAGGCUGAUUUUUCCUUCCCCGACGCGUCACCACCACCAUCGCCGGCGUGGUCGCCAUCGUCAUUACCCUCUUCUUGCUGAACAGUCAUCAUGCUUGCUUCUUCGGACUCUUUCUCUAACUCUUCCUGCUCUGCACCGUUAUCCUUUCUCGCCUCUUGCCCCUCCGCUACUGGAGAAGGACACGACGCUGCUGCGAAUGGAGAUGGAGAACGAGGAUGGGGAACAUGAUCGAUCGUACCUGGGGCAUCAGCUCCGGACACUAGGACCACGGUUGCCGCAGCUGGUAUAGCGUCCGCAAACGAAGAAACGACCGUAGCGGCCGUCGUCGUCAGGGGAAAGAGCGGUGCCGCCGCAUUGAGUCUGCUGCUAGCGGUGCUCGUUUUCGCAAUGACCGGAUUGGUAACGGUGAUCGGUAGCUCGAGCGAGGUCGGCACGUGCGGAUUGCUCGGCACAUGCCCGAUGACGGCUGCCAGUGUUUCGUCGAGAUUCGAACCCGAGCCAGCGGUAAUCGUGGAUGUUAAAGCUUUACCGCUGCUGCAGCUGCUGCUGCUGCUAGUGGACGAUGCUCCAGCGGCAGGAGUAGUGCUGCCGGAAGCCAUUCGAGGAGACACGGCAGCAGCCAAUUUUCUAUCCCCGAUUCGGUUGGCCGAUUCGAUGCCGUUCUUGGUCGGCACCUCAACGGUCGACAUGAUCGGGGGUUUCGUUAGCACGGCGUUGGUUUCCACCGUGGUGUUAGGGUUCACCUGGAUGAUCUCCGUCGGUAGUAGUACCGGAUGUUCUGCAGAAUUGGGAGAAAGGAAGAACCAAUUAUUGGAUGGAACUCAAAAACGGCCCAAAGUUAGCUUCAAUACAACAUACCUUGCAGCUCAAUCAGGCCAGCAUUCUCAUGUGCGACGAUAAUUUGUGUCCCUUCCGGCGUAACCAGCGUGCUAACUGCUCCGGCUUGCUGUUGCUGCGCGUGUUGGCCUGCGGAUAGUGCCGCUAACCACUCCUGUGCCGUUUCUGCACGGACACAACACGCCACAAACGAGGGCCGGGAGGUUUUGUUUUAAAAAGAAAAUAACGAACAAAGAAAUAAAACCAAUAUGCAACCACACCAAACAGAAAACCCGUGAGCGAAAAGCGCGCUUUGGUUGCUAUACAACCGUUCAAUAGAUUAGCCACGAACAAACACAACCAAGAGGCAAACCACACACACGGAAACACAUACACAGAAUGGAGACCAAUCAAGUAUUGCAAACAGAAAAACACACAGGACAGCUGGACAGCCUACUGGUGUGGUGUUUUAAUUGUGUCAGGUGAGUAGUAGUUUAUAUAUUGGGUUCUUCAAAGGGGAGCAUCAUGGAAUGAUCGGCGGCAGUUGCUUACAUUCGUAAAGUGUCCUUCACAUACGAUCAUUAUUUCUGGUUAACAUACUGGAGACCUAAUGUAAGGGGGGAGGAAUAACUCUACUUAAAUAUAUAACUAUAAACCUCUGUAUAAAUGUAGCAUAAUUA